GGACACAUAGCUCAGUUGGUAGAGUAGGGCAUUGUUAAUGCUCAGGUCGGUGGAUCGUGCCCAUCUGUGUCCG
rnacentral:tRNA from 1 species